AUAUUGGUCAAUGGGCGAGAGCCUGAACCAGCCAAGUCGCGUGAAGGAUGACUGUCUUAUGGAUUGUAAACUUCUUUUAUACGGGAAUAACAAGAGCCACGUGUGGCUCCCUGCAUGUACCGUAUGAAUAAGCAUCGGCUAACUCCGUGCCAGCAGCCGCGGUAAUACGGAGGAUGCGAGCGUUAUCCGGAUUUAUUGGGUUUAAAGGGUGCGUAGGCGGCCUGUUAAGUCAGCGGUGAAAUCUAGGAGCUUAACUCCUAAAUUGCCAUUGAUACUGGCGGGCUUGAGUGUAGAUGAGGUAGGCGGAAUGCGUGGUGUAGCGGUGGAAUGCAUAGAUAUCACGCAGAACUCCAAUUGCGAAGGCAGCUUACUAAGGUACAACUGACGCUGAAGCACGAAAGCGUGGGUAUCAAACAGGAUUAGAUACCCUGGUAGUCCACGCAGUAAACGAUGAUAACUGGGCGUAUGCGAUAUACAGUAUGCUCCUAAGCGAAAGCGUUAAGUUAUCCACCUGGGGAGUACGCCGGCAACGGUGAAACUCAAAGGAAUUGACGGGGGCCCGCACAAGCGGAGGAACAUGUGGUUUAAUUCGAUGAUACGCGAGGAACCUUACCCGGGCUUGAAUUGCAGAGGAAGGAUUUAGAGAUAAUGACGCCCUUCGGGGUCUCUGUGAAGGUGCUGCAUGGUUGUCGUCAGCUCGUGCCGUGAGGUGUCGGCUUAAGUGCCAUAACGAGCGCAACCCCUGUCUUUAGUUGCCAUCAGGUGAUGCUGGGCACUCUGGAGAUACUGCCACCGUAAGGUGUGAGGAAGGUGGGGAUGACGUCAAAUCAGCACGGCCC
rnacentral:rRNA from 1 species